rnacentral:tRNA from 1 species
CUGCGGUAUGCGCCGACGCCGGUGGCGGAGGCCUUCACGGUCUCGCGUCUGGGCGGGGGCUCGGGCCGGGUGUUCGGCACCCUGCCGCGGG